rnacentral:rRNA from 1 species
UGGCGGACGGGUGAGUAAUGUCUGGGAAACUGCCCGAUGGAGGGGGAUAACUACUGGAAACGGUAGCUAAUACCGCAUAACGUCGCAAGACCAAAGAGGGGGACCUUAGGGCCUCUUGCCAUCGGAUGUGCCCAGAUGGGAUUAGCUAGUAGGUGGGGUAACGGCUUACCUAGGCGACGAUCCCUAGCUGGUCUGAGAGGAUGGUCAGCCACACUGGGACUGAGACACGGCCCAG